rnacentral:tRNA from 1 species
CCCCGGGUGGUGCAAAUGGUUAGCACACUUGCCUGUUGACCAAGAGGCUGGAGAUUUGAGUCUACCCUGAGGC